rnacentral:rRNA from 1 species
AGUGAACGCUGGCGGUAGGCCUAACACAUGCAAGUCGAACGGCAGCACAGGAGAGCUUGCUCUCUGGGUGGCGAGUGGCGGACGGGUGAGGAAUACAUCGGAAUCUACCUUUUCGUGGGGGAUAACGUAGGGAAACUUACGCUAAUACCGCAUACGACCUACGGGUGAAAGGUGGGGGACCGCAAGGCCUCACGCGAUUA